rnacentral:rRNA from 1 species
UGAACCCAGAUGGGAUUAGCUAGUAGGCGGGGUAAUGGCCCACCAAGGCGACGAUCCCUAGCUGGUCUGAGAGGAUGAUCAGCCACACUGGAACUGAGACACGGUCCAGACUCCUACGGGAGGCAGCAGUGGGGAAUAUUGCACAAUGGGCGCAAGCCUGAUGCAGCCAUGCCGCGUGUAUGAAGAAGGCCUUCGGGUUGUAAA